rnacentral:rRNA from 1 species
AUGAACGCUGGCGGCGUGCCUCAUACAUGCCCGUCGAGCGAACAGACGAGGAGCUUGCUCCUCUGACGUUAGCGGCGGACGGGUGAGUAACACGUGGAUAACCUACCUAUAAGACUGGGAUAACUUCGGGAAACCGGAGCUAAUACCGGAUAAUAUAUUGAACCGCAUGGUUCAAUAGUGAAAGACGGUUUUGCUGUCACUUAUAGAUGGAUCCGCGCCGCAUUAGCUAGUUGGUAAGGUAACGGCUUACCAAGGCGACGAUGCGUAGCCGACCUGAGAGGGUGAUCGGCCACACUGGAACUGAGACACGGUCCAGACUCCUACGGGAGGCAGCAGUAGGGAAUCUUCCGCAAUGGGCGAAAGCCUGACGGAGCAACGCCGCGUGAGUGAUGAAGGUCUUCGGAUCGUAAAACUCUGUUAUUAGGGAAGAACAAAUGUGUAAGUAACUAUGCACGUCUUGACGGUACCUAAUCAGAAAGCCACGGCUAACUACGUG